rnacentral:snRNA from 1 species
GCUCACUUCAGCACACAUUAAAAUUGGAAUGAUACAGAAAAGAUUAGCAUGGCCCCUUCAAAAGGAUGACAUGAAUAAAAGUAUAUUCUUUACUUUGUUU